rnacentral:lncRNA from 1 species
CUCAGGGGGUCGUGCUGGGCUCGGUGGGGGUCUCCAGCUUGCAGUUUUGCAAACGGGACACGAUAAUUUGGAAAUUAUUUUCCAAAAAAUAUUGUGCAUCCUCCCCAGCGCUGAUUUGUGCCCGCCCGGGGCGGCUGCGGGCAGAGGUUGGGUUUUUAUCCCCCCUACAGCCGUGCAGGACCCUCGGUGUAGGGUCAGCCCGCUGGGGUUUCACACCCGUGCUCUCAAAAGGCUGCUGAGGAUGAGGAGUAAUUAAUAAAUUAACACAGCGCUUCUGUCACUGCGGGGGGUUGCUGUGGUUGAGGCUCACCUGGCCGAAAAUAAAUGCAUUUGUCGAGGCUUUUUGGUUCGAUGCUUUUACAAAUUGAAAAUCCAAGUCUGAUAGCUGUAUUUAUCCUGGAGAAAACACGACUUUGGAGCAGAACUGGCAAGAAACAAGAAGUUUCUUGCUUACCCCGUGUUAUAUUCAUACAAGUUCCCCUUUGCCCGGCGGUGGCACGGGCGCUGUCACCCCGUGGGGACCGGGGCUGGUGGCCGGAGGAGCUCGGAGGCACCAGAAAAUCCCACCCAGGUCUGUCAGCUCGGCUCCUCCUUGCCCACAGGCGUGGCUGCUGUUUUGACAUGCAGACAGAAGCAAAUCUGUUACAAAUAUAUUUUUUUAUUAAUAUUAUUUUUUUUUCUUCUCCUUGGGCUGGGAGGAAACCCGGCGAGAGGAGGCUGCCGGCUCCCUCCCGGUGGCAGCGCAGCGGGGAGCGGGUGCCAAGCAGUGGGCAGCGGGGCUGGCGAGAGCUUUCUCACUUUUUCAGGACGGUUUAUGUAACCUGCUGGGAAGCAGUGCUUUUUUUUUUUUUCCUUCCCCCCUCCCUGCGCUCUUCAUCACCUAAAAGCCGCCUGGUGCCGCGCUCCCAAAUCCCCCUGGUGUGCGGGAGGAGAGGGAGAAGCUCCCUAUGGGGGACUGGUGGCACUGGGGGACACGGGGCUGGUGGUACUGGAGGAUGUGGAGCUGGUGGCACUGGGAGGUGGCAGCAGGGACACGGGGCACACUCGGGGUGCAUGGAGCCGCCUGCGCUCCCUGCGAUACAAAACCGAGGGUUGUCCCUGAGCCGGGAUGUCCCCACAGCCUCGGGGACAGAAGGAGUUAAUGCCACCCGCGGGCUGUGAGCUCACAGCGGCAGCACACCGAGUUCGCUUCAGUCCACCGUGAGUCACGGCUCACCCCGCGCGGGGACGGUUCAGCCGGGUGCGUGCGCGGCGGCAGCGCCUCUGUUUGUGUUUUGUUUUUCCUCGCAAGAAAAAGUUGCCAUGCCCGGCUCCCCGCGCUGCUCGCUCCUUGCACAAUGUGGCCCCCGGGAGCUUUGCUCGGCUGCUGAUAAAAAAAAAAAAAAAAUUAAAAAAAGGGUGGGGGAAGUGAAGUGGCUAGGGUUAAAAAAAAAAAUUAAGUGAAUUUUUCAUUGAAGCGGUGACACAUUUCGAAAGCAGCGAUGUGCGAAACGGUCCCGAAUCCGGUGUGAAACGGUCCCGAAUCCGGGCAGAUUUGUGAUUUAAGAGUGAGGCAGGGAGGCAGAGCCCCAGGUGGAGGGGAUGUGGUGGCCGCCCUGGGACCGUGCCGGGGCCGAGCCGAGGUUUUUUCGGAGCUGCCUCCGUGCCUCCGAGCCUGCGGUGGUUUGGGGAAGGACGUGGUGUGCCUUCGUGGGAAGCCGGGCGGAUCUCAAAACAAGCGG